AGGGGUGUAGCUCAGUGGCAGAGCGCUGGCAUAGCAUGUGCAGGACCCUGGGUUUCAUCCCCAGCACCUCAA
rnacentral:tRNA from 1 species